CUAUCAUGCAGUCGAGCGCCCUAGCAAUAGGGAGCGGCGCACGGGUGCGUAACACGUGGGAAUCUACCCUUGACUACGGAACAACGUCGGGAAACUGACGCUAAUACCGUAUAAUGACUCCGGUCCAAAGAUUUAUCGGUCAAGGAUGAGCCCGCGCUAGAUUAGGUAGUUGGUGAGGUAAUGGCUCACCAAGCCUACGAUCUAUAGGGGGUCUGAGAGGAUGAUCCCCCACACUGGAACUGAGACACGGUCCAGACUCCUACGGGAGGCAGCAGUAAGGAAUAUUGGACAAUGGGGGCAACCCUGAUCCAGCCAUGCCGCGUGAGUGACGAAGGCCUUCGGGUUGUAAAGCUCUUUCGGAUGUGAAGAUAAUGACAGUAGCAUAAGAAGAAGCUCCGGCUAAACUCGUGCCAGCAGCCGCGGUAAUACGAGUGGAGCGAGCGUUGUUCGGAAUCACUGGGCGUAAAGCGUGCGCAGGCGGCUAUGCAAGUCAGGAGUGAAAUCCCAGGGCUUAACCCUGGAAUUGCUCUUGAAACUGCAUGGCUAGAAUCCCGGAGAGGUUGGCGGAAUUCUCAGUGUAGAGGUGAAAUUCGCAGAUAUUGAGAGGAACACCAGUGGCGUAAGCGGCCAACUGGACGGGUAUUGACGCUCAGGCACGAAAGCGUGGGGAUCAAACAGGAUUAGAUACCCUGGUAGUCCACGCCUUAAACGAUGUGUGCUAGCUGUCGGGAACUUCGGUUCUCGGCGACGCAGCUAACGCAAUAAGCACACCG
rnacentral:rRNA from 1 species